UUCAAUCUGGGCUUGUGGUCGUGGAUUGGAGCAGUGGUGAUUUUGAGGGGAAGGUUUUGACCUUCUGAUUUCCAGGUCGGGGGUCAGGGUUUUCCCUCGAGUCUUGAAGAUGGUGGAGGACAGCGGCUGCCACCAGAUCGGUGAAGGGUCGAUGUCUUUCUGGUAGGUCAUUUUCACGUCAAUUUGGAGGGAGAGGAAAUGACGGUGGGUCUGCUUCGAUCUGAAAUGGCUUCCAUGACGGUGAUGAGAUCUGGCCGGGACUGGCAAUGGUGGCGCUGAAUUCGGUAGGGUCUGCGCUCCGGGUUUCUCGGCUGGAAACCCUAGGGUUUGGGCUGAGCCGUGGGUUGUAGGUUAAUGGGCCGUUGGGCCUGGAUUGAUCUGCUGGGAGGUAGCUGAGUUUUUUUUUUUUUUUUUUCUUUUUUCUGCUUCUCUCACCUUGAUCUCCCUCGGCUGAAGCUGUUUGCUGGUUGAUGAGUGGCGAUGUACACCAAAAGGGUCUUAGGCGUCAACGCUUGUCAAGUCAACGGCUUUGAUUUAGGGUUUGAUAGAUUGGUUUGUUUACUUUAUUUGUUGGCUCUGCCAUAUGCAAUGUGA
rnacentral:lncRNA from 1 species